GACGAACGCUGGCGGCGUGCUUAACACAUGCAAGUCGAACGGAAAGGCCCUGCUUUUGUGGGUUGCUCGAUUGCGGAAGGGGGGAGAAACACGUGAGUAACCUCCCCUUGACUUUGGGAUAACUUCAGGAAACUGGGGCUAAAACCGGAUAGGAGCUCCUGCUCCAUGGUGGGGGUUGGAAAGUUUCGGCGGUUGGGGAUGGACUCGCGGGUUACCCGCUUGUUGGUGGGGUAGUGGCUUACCAAGGUUUUGACGGGUAGCCGGCCUGAGAGGGUGACCGGCCACAUGGGGACUGAGAUAAGGCCCAGACUCCUACGGGAGGCAGCAGUGGGGAAUAUUGCACAAUGGGCGGAAGCCUGAUGCAGCAACGCCGCGUGCGGGAUGACGGCCUUCGGGUUGUAAACCGCUUUCGCCUGUGACGAAGCGUGAGUGACGGUAAUGGGUAAAGAAGCACCGGCUAACUACGUG
rnacentral:rRNA from 1 species